rnacentral:lncRNA from 1 species
GAUUAUUGAAUAAAUCUGGUAAUUGAUUGAUCACCUAGUUAGGUCCCGUAUGCUGGUGAUUGUGCUUAUUGCACUUCUGUUACGCGGUGGGCUUUGAUAAGCGCCACAACUAACUAAUUCCGUGGGCUUUGAUAAGCGCCACACUAACUCUACGUGGGCCAUUUUAGUGCCACUAACUCUACGUGGGUCGUCAGCAUAUGUGAGCCGGGAUCCCAAAUAAAAUAUGGAUAUAAAUUAGAUUAUAGAAUUAGCCUUAUGUGUUAUAUGUUGUAUACUUUCUAUAUGAAUAUUUGUACCAUAAAGUGACUAGGAGUAGAUCCUCACUCAGUGAUUAGCACUGACCUUUACUUUCCAUUUCAGAGUGACAAUAGGUUUUACUGGGUCACACACUACAACAUGGUAUCAUCGAGCUCCGGGGUCGGUCAUCAUGGUGACGACGCUAGGUAGAUAUCGAAGAUUGUGUCUUGAUCCUCGUUUUGUAUUUAAAGUUUGUUUGAGACUCUUACUUCCAUCAUGUGCAUAUGUUAUGAGUGGUUGUGUACUAGUACAAUGUGAGAUAUGGUUUUGUAAAAUAUAGUGGCCGAGAGGGCAAGUAUAUGGUUACUCUGGUCCGAGCCUGUGAAGCUCGAGACUUCUGUUCUAUAUGUAUAUGUGUCCUGUUGGACUUCGGGUAUAGUGUACUGUAUUGUGAAAAGUCAAUAAGUCAUAUAUGAGAUCUUGAGCAGUUUUUAUUGACGAAUUAGUUAUUUGAGUACAUAUAAGCACAAUCCUAGAUUAUCAUGAAGGAAUUAAUCGAUGGGUGUAAACAUUAAAUGAUAUAUACGGUAUAAGUAGCAUAGUACCCUAUUCUUACUUCGCUGUAUUAUUUUAAAACGAAUUUGUUAAUAGUAAGGGUGUUACAAGUACUAUGAUUCCUACUGUGUACUCAAACAGUUCUGGUACAUACAAGUGGUCCCAACCUCGAUUGUUGUAUCACUGCGGGCUAUUAGGCCCCGCGCAAUUCGGAACUACGCGGUCUAGUGGGCCUCGACGGAGGAUAGGACUUGGUCGGAUCAGGAGUUCAUCAGAAUUCACCGGCUCGACCUUAUGUUUCAAAGAACAGUAGCCGGGGUUAAUGUUGUUUCGGGGUACAUGGACUGGUAUCUCGAGCACGGUCACCCACGCAUCAUGACGUCCGUCGAGACUCGUGUAAGCGUUCCUCCUAAGAUAGUAAGAUUGAUUUAAUCUUCUUAUCUAAUAGGGUCGCGUAUAUAAAUGUCGUUAUACCAAAUGUUGUUUUUAUUUGUGCACAGAUUGCUGACUGGAUCUUCGAUGGUAUGGCUUGCUAUUUCGACGGGACGUUGGGGGAGCAACUGCAGGACUCGCCACAGGAGUACUACGAUCAUAUAGAGGGAUGCACUAUCAGUUUGAGGACCUCUAUGUGGGCUAUCGACGCAAGAGAGAAGGUCGCCAUGAGUAAAGACUUUCUUUGUUAUACUUUCCUUGCCUCAGACAUUAUAGCUGAGUGUUUUGUUUAAUUUUUGCAUUGAUGUUAUGUACCCUGUUUGCCAGUAAGUCACACUUUGAAUGAUUUAUGUGUUAUUACACUCUCCAG